AGGAUGAACGCUAGCGGCAGGCCUAACACAUGCAAGUCGAGGGGUAACGAUGUCUUCGGACAGUCGACGACCGGCGCACGGGUGAGUAUCGCGUUUGUAACCUACCUUUAACUGGAGAAUAGCCCGAAGAAAUUCGGAUUAAUACUCCAUAACACUAUGAACUGGCAUCUUUUUAUAGUUAAAGCUCCGGCGGUUAAAGAUGGGCAUGCGUGACAUUAGUUUGUUGGUGAGGUAAGAGCUCACCAAGACUACGAUGUCUAGGGGGUCUGAGAGGAUGGUCCCCCACACUGGUACUGAGACACGGACCAGACUCCUACGGGAGGCAGCAGUGAGGAAUAUUGGUCAAUGGGCGCAAGCCUGAACCAGCCAUGCCGCGUGAAGGAUGACAGCGCUAUGCGUUGUAAACUUCUUUUGUACAGGAAGAAACGCUUCUACGUGUAGAAGUUUGACGGUACUGUACGAAUAAGCAUCGGCUAACUCCGUGCCAGCAGCCGCGGUAAUACGGAGGAUGCAAGCGUUAUCCGGAUUUAUUGGGUUUAAAGGGUACGUAGGCGGAAAAUUAAGCCAGUAGUGAAAUCCUGCAGCUUAACUGUAGAACUGUUAUUGAUACUGGUUUUCUUGAAUAUAGUUGAGGUAGGCGGAAUGUGUAAUGUAGCGGUGAAAUGCUUAGAUAUUACACAGAACACCGAUUGCGAAGGCAGCUUACUAAGCUAUGAUUGACGCUGAGGUACGAAAGCGUGGGGAGCGAACAGGAUUAGAUACCCUGGUAGUCCACGCCGUAAACGAUGAUCACUCGUUGUUGGCAAUACAUAGUCAGCGACUGAGCGAAAGCAUUAAGUGAUCCACCUGGGGAGUACGCUCGCAAGAGUG
rnacentral:rRNA from 1 species